rnacentral:rRNA from 1 species
UAACGAAGGGUGGGCAAAACGUUUGCUCGGAAAUUUAUUGGGCGUAAAAGGCGCACGUAGGCGGCUUAGCAAGUCGGAUGAUGAAAGCCCUGGGCUUAAACCCAGGGAAGUGCAUUCGAAACUCCCGAACUCGAGUCCUGGGAGAGGAAGGGCGGAAUUCUCGGUGUAGAGGUGAAAUUCGUAGGAUAAUCGAGAGGAACAUC